rnacentral:lncRNA from 1 species
AAUAAGAGUCCUUUCUCUCUCUUCCAAUUUCUGCUGAAACAGCAAAGAUGGCAGCAGCAGCAGCAGCAGCAGCAGCAGCAGCAGCAGCAGCAAUGAUUCCAAAACUCAAGAGCAUCUGCCCUACCUCAUUUGCUGGGAUCUAUUAAUCUCUUACAAUAGCCAGCAGCUAACCCAUCUGGCAGACACCUGGUCUUGAUUUAAUUAACUGGAGAAUUGAAAGAAAGGAGGAAAUGAGAUCCUUUCCUACACCACAUACCUGGAGGUGAGGUGCCUUGUUAAGCAAGGGGGGAGAUGCUUGCUCUGCAGGCUCUUCAGAAUAUCUAAGGAAAAAAUGGACAGGAUUAAGAGGCUCUUUUGAACAGUGGUACAUCUCCGAUAGGUUCUAAGGACCUGUAGCCUCAGAGGAGAGCAAAUUUAACUUGCCUCUCUGGGGCUGUGGGGCACCUGUGACCUCAGCCUUAAUGAGCAUCAUAUGUUCAAUAGCAUUCAAAACCACAAGGGCCUGCUGCAGGCACCCACAUCAACCCAUUGACACAUGCCUGCAAGCUCUUCUGUGGAGAAGGACAGGGCCAGGGCAGCACGGGCUACAAACUGCCCGUGUCUUCAUUCACAUUUGCAUCCCACAGAUGUUAAAACCUACUAUGGAGGGAGUUCCUCUGGGAAGACAUAAAGAACUACCUAGAGUAUCUGUUAACCUCCGAUAGAAAGGGUACCAACAGACCAAAGAGUUCCCCGAAGACCAGCUUGGUGAACAGAGGGAUUUGUUGGGGUUAUUUACAGGAUCUCGAGUGAUUCCGGGGUAGCCACACCACUCAAGAGGCCCACCCAGAGCAUGAAAAACCCAGAAACUACAUCUCUGAAGACCUACUGCUUACCGGGAGAAGCAGGGCCUCACAAGGAUCCCAGGAUGGAAUGAAAAUAGGCCAGAUGUCACGAGGGUCUCCUGUGGAUAACUACAGGUGCUCUGACUCAAGGCAGAGAUGGCCAUGUCCACCGUGGAGAAGAAGAGAGCUAAGAUAGCUUAGGCCUCAGGGUGAUAAAGGCACGACAUGGAGGCUUGGUAGUUCGGAGCGUUCAGCAAGAUUUUGUGUGGAUGUGCAACCACGUCAUUCACACAAAGACUUACCUUCCAGCUGUUAACGAGCCGAGCCGGGAUAACCUUCGGGCCUCAGUUACUACAUCUGUCCUUAGGGUUCACACUCCUCUUUCAAGGUCAAUUCAGUGCUGCCUCCUUUGGGAGCUUCUUCAGGUGUCUCUGUCUUCGGCUCACACAGAGGGCUUCCUCCAGCUCAGUUGAAAUGAAAUCAUACCACAUAUUACUUCAUGCUUCUUCUCCUUUGCUCACGCAGUUCCUUGUGAGCAUGGACUAGAUGAGGCCUUGUUGGCUUCCGUAUACCCCGCUGAGAUUUUUUCCCCCCAGGCAGGCAUGUGUAGGGGUGGUCCUCUACCUCUGCAUCUUCUCUGGGCCCUGGAGUUUCAAAUUCUGUGCAUUCUCUCCUUCUAGUUUUGAGUUCUCACAACAUUCCGAGUCUUUUCUCUGGGUGUACUUCCUAGGUCACUCCGCUCUGGAACAGUUAACAUCCUCCCCUGUUCUGGAUAUUCUAGGGGUUUCAGUGCAGCUAGGACCACACCGCUACAUUCAUAACUCCAUACCAUUGGGUCACAAGCAAGAUUUUGCUGAAAGGACCCUGAUAUAGCUGUCUCUUGUGAGGCUAUGCCGGUGCCUGGCAAACACAGAAGUGGAUGCUCAUAGUCCGCUAUUGGAUGGAACACAGGGCCCCCCCAAUGGAGGAGCUAGAGAAAGUACCCAAGGAGCUGAAGGGGUCUGCAACUCUAUACGUGGAACAACCAUAUGAACUAACCAGUACCCCGCCCCCCCCAGAGCAUAUGUAGCAGAAGAUGGCCUAGUCUGCCAUCAUUGGGAAGAGAAGCCCCUUGGUCUUGCAAACUUUAUAUGCCCCAGUACAGGGGAAUACCAGGGCCAAGAAGUGGGACUUUUGGGAUAGCAUUUGAAAUGUAAAUGAAGAAAAUGCCUAAUUAAAAAAAG